rnacentral:tRNA from 1 species
GCACGGUUAGCUCAGUCUGGUAGAGCUGGAGGUUUACAUUCUCUGCAAGCAUUGGUUCGAAUCCAAUACUGUGUACCA